rnacentral:rRNA from 1 species
UGAACGCGGGCGGCAGGCCUAACACAUGCAAGUCGAGCGGAAACGAGUUAACUGAACCUUCGGGGGACGUUAACGGCGUCGAGCGGCGGACGGGUGAGUAAUGCCUAGGAAAUUGCCCUGAUGUGGGGGAUAACCAUUGGAAACGAUGGCUAAUACCGCAUGAUGCCUACGGGCCAAAGAGGGGGACCUUCGGGCCUCUCGCGUCAGGAUAUGCCUAGGUGGGAUUAGCUAGUUGGUGAGGUAAGGGCUCACCAAGGCGACGAUCCCUAGCUGGUCUGAGAGGAUGAUCAGCCACACUGGAACUGAGACACGGUCCAGACUCCUACGGGAGGCAGCAGUGGGGAAUAUUGCACAAUGGGCGCAAGCCUGAUGCAGCCAUGCCGCGUGUGUGAAGAAGGCCUUCGGGUUGUAAAGCACUUUCAGUCGUGAGGAAGGUAGUGUUGUUAAUAGCUGCAUUAUUUGACGUUAGCGACAGAAGAAGCACCGGCUAACUCCGUGCCAGCAGCCGCGGUAAUACGGAGGGUGCGAGCGUUAAUCGGAAUUACUGGGCGUAAAGCGCAUGCAGGUGGUUUGUUAAGUCAGAUGUGAAAGCCCGGGGCUCAACCUCGGAAUAGCAUUUGAAACUGGCAGACUAGAGUACUGUAGAGGGGGGUAGAAUUUCAGGUGUAGCGGUGAAAUGCGUAGAGAUCUGAAGGAAUACCGGUGGCGAAGGCGGCCCCCUGGACAGAUACUGACACUCAGAUGCGAAAGCGUGGGGAGCAAACAGGAUUAGAUACCCUGGUAGUCCACGCCGUAAACGAUGUCUACUUGGAGGUUGUGGCCUUGAGCCGUGGCUUUCGGAGCUAACGCGUUAAGUAGACCGCCUGGGGAGUACGGUCGCAAGAUUAAAACUCAAAUGAAUUGACGGGGGCCCGCACAAGCGGUGGAGCAUGUGGUUUAAUUCGAUGCAACGCGAAGAACCUUACCUACUCUUGACAUCCAGAGAACUUUCCAGAGAUGGAUUGGUGCCUUCGGGAACUCUGAGACAGGUGCUGCAUGGCUGUCGUCAGCUCGUGUUGUGAAAUGUUGGGUUAAGUCCCGCAACGAGCGCAACCCUUAUCCUUGUUUGCCAGCGAGUAAUGUCGGGAACUCCAGGGAGACUGCCGGUGAUAAACCGGAGGAAGGUGGGGACGACGUCAAGUCAUCAUGGCCCUUACGAGUAGGGCUACACACGUGCUACAAUGGCGCAUACAGAGGGCGGCCAACUUGCGAAAGUGAGCGAAUCCCAAAAAGUGCGUC